GCGGAGGAAAAGAAAAUAACAAUGAUUUCCCUAGUAACGGCGAGUGAAGAGGAAAGAGCUCAAAGUUGGAACCUGUUUGGCUUAGCUAAACCGGAUUGUAAACUGUAGAAACAUUUUCCAGAUACACUAGAUUAAAAAGUCCUUUGGAACAGGGCAUCAUAGAGGGUGAGAAUCCCGUCUUUGGUCUAAGUAGUUGUCUAUUGUGAUAUGUUUUCAAAGAGUCAGGUUGUUUGGGAAUGCAGCCUAAAUUGGGUGGUAAAUCUCACCUAAAGCUAAAUAUUUGCGAGAGACCGAUAGCGAACAAGUACCGUGAGGGAAAGAUGAAAAGAACUUUGAAAAGAGAGUUAAACAGUAUGUGAAAUUGUUAAAAGGGAACCGUUUGGAGCCAGAUUGGCUUGAUUGUAAUCAACCUAGAAUUCGUUUUGGGUGCACUUGCAGUCUAUGCCUGCCAACGACAGUUUGAUUUGGAGGAAAAAAUUAAUAGGAAUGUGGCCUUUCGAGGUGUUAUAGCCUAUUAUCAUACUCUGAAUUGGACUGAGGAACGCAGUGAAUGCCUUUAGGCAAGAUUGCUGGGCGCUUUCGCUAAUAAAUGUUAGAAUUUCUGCUUCGGGUGGUGCUAAUGUUUAAAGGAGGAACCCGCUUAGUAUAUUUUUUAUUCGCUUAGGUUGUUGGCUUAAUGACUCUAAAUGAC
rnacentral:rRNA from 1 species